UUUAACAAAGGUGAAAGCCUGUGAAACAAAAGAAUCCCUUCUUACUUGUUUCACGUUUGUGUUUGUUGACCGCAGUUCCAACCAGGUGGACUCUCAAUGUCUUGCAAGCGACACCUAGAAGCAGGUACAGGCAGGAGGUACAGCACCCUGCAACCUCCAGGGGCCUUUGUGCAACACCAGAUGUUCAUGUCCUAGAAGCACGUGGCGGAGCACGUCCUGGGAUCAAGGUGCCAUGGACUGGAAAAUGCAGCUCUGGACAUACAGGCUUGGCGGAGUUCCUGUGUGAAGACAAAACUCCCAGUACUCCAGAAACGUGGAGGCAGAAGAGCAGUGACAAGG